AUGUCGUCGGUGGUGUACAAGGACUGGAAGUUCACCGAGCAGGGCCUGCCCGACGAUCUCAUCAAGAGGGGCAUGGCGGUGGAGGACCCGUCGAGCCCGUACAAGGGCGACGUGGAGCUGCAGGCGUGGUGGAAGGAGGCGCGGGAGGUCGGGCACGGCGACCUCAAGGACGCGCCAUGGUGGCCCAAGAUGCAGGACGUGGGCGAGCUGGCCAAGGCGUGCACCACCAUCAUCUGGAUCGGGUCGGCGCUGCACGCGGCGGUCAACUUCGGGCAGUACCCGUACGCGGGGUUCCUCCCAAACCGGCCGACGGUGAGCCGGCGCCGCAUGCCGGAGCCCGGGACGGAGGAGUACGCGGAGCUGGAGCGCGACCCGGAGCGGGCCUUCAUCCACACCAUCACGAGCCAGAUCCAGACCAUCAUCGGCAUCUCGCUGCUGGAGGUGCUGUCGAAGCACUCCUCCGACGAGCUCUACCUGGGGCAGCGCGACACGCCGGAGUGGACCUCCGACCCCAAGGCGCUGGAGGUGUUCAAGCGGUUCAGCGAGCGGCUGGUGGAGAUCGAGAGCAAGGUGGUGGGCAUGAACCACGACCCGCAGCUCUUGAACCGCAACGGCCCGGCCAAGUUUCCCUACAUGCUGCUCUACCCUAACACCUCCGACCACAAGGGUGCCGCCGCCGGCCUCACCGCCAAGGGCAUCCCCAACAGCAUCUCCAUCUGA
rnacentral:rRNA from 1 species